AAAAAAAUAGAAAGUCGAAUAUACGUAACCCGUGGAAAUUCAAAAUUCGCGAUACUUUUUGAACAGGCCUCGUUUGUGUGAAGUUGCAUGUUAGUACCUACUUGUCCAUAUCGAUGGCAACAUUUAUCGUUUAUCUUAUCAUUUCCUCUAUUGAUUGUAGUCAUUUCACCGUUUUAUGAAUAACUCGUUCAUAAAUCAUCAGAGUCUCAGUGGGCGUGCAAAAUUGUAAUAAGAAAACUAGUAUUUCAACUCACUUAAUUUCUAUAAGUACUAUUUAAUUAGCAUCGUUAUUCUUUAUAUAGGGGCGCAUUUAUUUCAACUUAAUUCCUUUAUGACAUGAAAUUGUUUGUUUCGUUCGCUUUAAUUAUCUGCGGAAUCGUAAUCCUCAAUGAGUGUGAUGUGGUGUUUUGCAAAUGGAUGACAUACGCGGAAUAUUUUAUGAAAUACGGAAAAGACGAGAAGGAAUUGGCUAAUAUCAUGAAUGUGCCAAUACGAGAGUGUCCAGGAAAUAGAAGGAUGGACAGAAGAGGAAUAUGUCGGCAAAUUUAUUAAAGAAUAGAUACGAGUGCAACAGAAAAACAAAUGCACUAAUAGCUGUUGUUGGAAUCAAUUCCGCCUGUUGUUUGUUCAUUUAUUAUAUAUACUGUACUUACUUAUCUAUGUAUUAAAUAAAUAUUAUGAGUCAUUGUG